AGGUGCAUAGUGUAAUGGAAACAUGGUGGUCUCCAAAACUGCAGAUGGAGGUUCAAGUCCUUCUGCACCUG
rnacentral:tRNA from 1 species